rnacentral:rRNA from 1 species
UACGGAGGGUGCAAGCGUUAUCCGGAUUCACUGGGUUUAAAGGGUGCGUAGGUGGGCAGGUAAGUCAGUGGUGAAAUCUCCGGGCUUAACCCGGAAACUGCCAUUGAUACUAUCUGUCUUGAAUACCCUGGAGGUGAGCGGAAUAUGUCAUGUAGCGGUGAAAUGCUUAGAUAUGACAUAGAACACCCAUUGCGAAGGCAGCUCACUACGGGAAUAUUGACACUGAGGCACGGAAAGCGUGGGGAUCAAACAGG